rnacentral:rRNA from 1 species
AGUGAACGCUGGCGGCGUGCCUAAUACAUGCAAGUCGAACGGAGUGGCGCACGGGUGAGUAAUAUAUAGCUAAUCUGCCCCUUGCUGGAGGACAACAGUUAGAAAUGAAUGCUAAUACUCCAUAGCAAGGGAUGAGUCUAUAUCGUAUCAGCUAGUCGGUGGGGUAACGGCCUACCGAGGCUAUGACGCGUAACUGGUCUGAGAGGAUGAGCAGUCACAUUGGAAGUGAGACACGGUCGAAAAUCCGUCGGCAGGCAGCAGUAGGGAAUAGUGCGCAAUGGGGGAAACCCUGACGGAGCAUCGCCGCGUGGAGGAUGACACUUUGCGGAGAGUAAACUCCGUUUGUUAGGGAAGCGGUACCUAACGAAUAAGCACCGGCUAACUCCGUGCCAGCAGCCGCGGUAAUUC